ACGUAUGGGGCAAGCGUUGUUCGGAAUUAUUGGGCGUAAAGGGCGUGUAGGCGGGGGGUUAAGUUAGAUGUGAAAGCCACCAGCUUAACUGGAGAACUGCAUCUAAGACUGGUUCUCUUGAGUUCCGGAGAGGAGAGCGGAAUUCCAGGUGUAGCGGUGAAAUGCGUAGAUAUCUGGAAGAACACCAGUGGCGAAGGCGGCUCUCUGGCCUAGAACUGACGCUGAAGCGCGAAAGCGUGGGGAGCGAACAG
rnacentral:rRNA from 1 species